AUUUGUAGAAUCUACAAGUUGCAACGAUAGAUGGACGGAGUUCCAUGGGUCAUGCUAUUUGUUUGCACAUGGAGGAUCACUAUCCUUCUUUGAGGCUGAGCAUUACUGCAAUCAACAUGGUGGACAUCUUGUACACAUAAAUAAUCAAGCUGAAAAUUUGUUUGUCAAGGAUUACCUGCGAUCUAUCAAAGCUGAUGACACAUGGAUAGGUCUGACAGAUGAAGGUUCAGAGGGAUUGUGGGAAUGGUAUGACACACACACAUCGCCUUCAUUUACUGACUGGUACCCAGGAGAGCCAAAUGCACAGAAUGGUGACGAAGAUUGUGUAGCUGUCAAGUCUGGGCUUGACUUUCACUGGUUCGAUGAUGUGUGCUCGUGGCAGAAAACACCACUGUGUGA